rnacentral:misc_RNA from 1 species
GAAAUGCGAUAAGUAAUGUGAAUUGCAGAAUUCAGUGAAUCAUCGAAUCUUUGAACGCACAUUGCGCCCUUUGGUAUUCCGAAGGGCAUGCCUGUUCGAGCGUCAUUUAAACUCUCAAGCCCAGCUUGGUAUUGGAACCUGUCCUCUGACAGUUCCGCAACUCCUUUGGCAGUAACGUCCAGCUUCAAGCGUAGCAAGUCAUUCGCUUAGUGGUCUUGACGUUCCUCCCACAAGAACCCUUCUCAAGUUUGACCUCGGAUCAGGUAGGGAUACCCGCUGAACUUAA